rnacentral:piRNA from 1 species
UGGAUAGAAACUUCCAGAAAUGUUAAUGC